CUGUGUCCUCACCCAAACCCCAUCUUGAAUUGUAGUUCCCAUAAUCUCCACGUGUCAUGGAAGGGACCCGGGGGAGGUAAUUGAAUCAUGGGGGCAGUUACCUUCACGCUGUUCUCGUGAAAGUGAGUGAGUUCUCAGGAGAUCUGAUAAGGGGACUUUCCUCAUUUUACUCACUCAGUUCUCUUCCUGCCACCACUUGAAGAAGGACGUGUUUGCUUCCCCUUCUGCCGUGAUUCUAAGUUUCCUGAGGCCUCCCCAGCCAUGCUGAACUAUAACAAUGCAGUGUCUUCAUUCAUAAUGGAUUGCAGUUCCCCACUCAGGAAGAGGACAUUUUUUUUAAAACUACAUGAUACAACUGAGAGCUUGGAAGCUAUCCAUGCAUAAGUUUUAAAACCCAGCAGCUUCAUGGUUUCCUCCUUCUGUUGGCCUGGCCAGUGGACACAGUGGUCACGUUCCUGGCAUGGAGAUGUCAUUCAUGGUCUCUCAGACCCAAGUGUUACCAGUGAAGGGUGUCCAGGUUCUUGGCGCUUUGAACAAAGAAUUGGACAAAACUCACAAACAAAGCAAGAAAAGAAAGAAGCAACAAAAGCAGAGAUGUAUUGAAAAUGAAAACACACUCCACAGGGUGGGAGCAGGCCGAGCAAGCAGCUCAAGGGCCCAGUUACAGAACUUUCUGGGGUUUAAAUACCCUUUAGAAGUUUCCAUUGGUUACUUGGUGUACACCCUAUGUAUAUGAAGUAGUGGCCUGUGAUCAGUCUGAUUGGUUGGAAGGGACCAAUCAGAAUGCAAACGUCUGAUUAGUUGUGGAAAGUGACCAAUUAGAGGCUGAAGUGAAGUUACAAAGUAAUACUCCCACGCAAAUGAAGACUUGGCCCACAACCAACCUGAUUGGUUGUGAGAGGGGACCAAUCAGAGGGACUUUCAGUUUUUCACCUGCAAUGCAGAAAAAGGGUGGCAGGUGAGGGGUGUUGCAAAGGGAGUAGCCUCUGGUCCUUUUGUUACUUGGGCACUUGGGCGUGGAAAGUGGGGGUUUUCCUUUUGAUUUAGUUCUAGGAAGUCAGCGUGAAUUGGCCUUACAUUCCCUGCCUCCAGACCCUAUUCUCCUGCCUCACAAGUGCUCCUAGGAGCUGUACAUGCCUGUCUUUGUCCCCAUGUAGUCAGCUCGUUACAGGUGGGUCCUGCUGGGUCUUUCGUUCUUGCUUCUCUGCUUCAAGAUGGCUAAUAAGUCCUGGUCCAGUGAGUCCCCAGUGCAGACAUAGAGCAGAAGGGAAGUGGGUCCAGUUGCAUUUCCUGCAGUUUAAUAAAGAACCCUGUGCUCUCUGGCCCAUUACCUAAAGCUGAUAUUGUGCUUGGAACGUGUAGUGUUAUCCAAUCCAGCUUUACCACUGCUAAAGCUGAUACCACGCUUUGAUCCUCUGCUUGCUCAUUUUGCCAAGUUCUUAACUGCGUGGAACUGGAAGGUGAGGGCUGGAUGAUUGAUUUUUCACCCUGCCCCCAAACUCCAACAACCGAAACCAAGGGUUCUUGAAGAGAGAGGGGCAGGGCAGCAACAGGGAGACUGAAACUUGGGGUGGGGGGGGGGCGGGGGGAGGGGGGCGGACGGAAUGUUUUUGAAGUGUGUGUUUGCCUAAGGUGUGUGUAGAAAGGUAGCUACUUUUCAGUCUCUGCCUGCCUUUAAUCCAUUACAAUGUCCUAAUUAAAAACAUUUAAAAAGCUACAUUGGAAAAUGAUCCCUGAGGCUAGAAUGCUGUUGGCACAGUGAAAAAGACGCAAUCAAUAAGUAAACAGGCAAUGUCAGCCCGGAGAGCUUUCAGAACAACAUGCCUACUCGGGGGAAAAAAAAUUACAAGUCGCUUUAGCCUAUUUAAAUAUUUUCCAAGAUCUUUGUUAAAUUUCAGGUAAUAAUAUUUCUUCCUUUGAACAAGCGUUGUAUGUUUGCCUUUGACUGAGAAUGGCCUAGGCUAGAGACCAUUUGGUAUUCAACUUGUGACUAUUUUAGUAUGGGGCUGGACCCCAAAAAUUCAUGCUCAAUGAAAUGAUUUUCACUUACUGAGAUGAAUUUACUUUUUGCUUCCUUCAGCAAUUCAUCAAUCUAAUGGAAGAAAGAGUAGCUAUCAUCAUAAUGAGAAUAGACUUCUACGAGUAUGAGUCAAUGUCAAUACUUUAUUUAAUAAUGCAAAUUCUAUUACUAUAUAUUUGGUCUCAAUCCAAAUUUGCUUUAAAUUGAGUUUCCUUGCCAUUGCACACUCCUAUCUUUCUGAACACACACCACCCCACACACACACCAUACACACUUGUUUCAUUGCGCUUCAUUUUAUUGCACUUCUCGAAGAAUGUGUUUUUUACAAAUUGAAGAUUUGUGGCAACUUUUCAUCGAGUGAGUCUAUUGGCAUCAUUUUUGCAAGAGCAUAUGCUCACUUCCUGCCUCUGUGACAGCAUUUUUUAGCAAUAACAUAUUUUUAAUGAAGGUAUGUACAUUGUUUUUUAGACAUAAUGCUAUUGCACACUUGACUAAAAUGUAGCCUAAGUAUAAUUUUUAUAUGCCAUGGGAAACUAAAAAAAGUGACUUACUUUAUUGUAAUAUUUGCUUUAUUACUUUGGUCUGGAACUGCCUCACACUAUCUCUGAAGUAUGCAUGUAUAGCUUUUCAUAACACAGAUAUCACAUUUGACCAGAUCCUAUUGUUACUGAACAAUGUUGAUGCUAACAUUGAUGAUAUCAAUCACUAUUACUGGAAUCAUUAUCAACAUAUCAAUAAAUAUUUUUAGAACAUUUUGAAAUUGUCAGCUGGGUUUUGGUUAAAUACUUCUUGUCUGAUAUAUUAUAUCCCAAAACAAUAACAGUAGCUGAAAAUACCAGAGAAGAUAUACUUUUUAAAGUAACAUAUUGUCAUAACGUAUAAGUAUCAAAAUUUCAUACUGCAGCAUGACUGACAUAAAGAACACUUUGUUGUUGUUGUUGUUGUUUUGUUUGUUUGUUUGUUUUGAGAUGGAGUCUCGCUCUGUCACCAAGGCUGGAGUGCAGUGGCACAAUCUGGCUCACUGCAACCUCCACCUCUCUGGUUCAAGCAAUUCCCCUGCCUCAGCCUCCAGAGUAGCUGGGAUUACAGGCGCAUGCCACCACGCCUGCCUAACUUUUCUGUAUUUUUAGUAGAGAUGGGGUUUCACCAUGUUGGCCAGACUGGGCUCGAACUCCUGACCUCAGGCAAUCCGCCCAUUUUGGCCUCCCAAAGUGCUAGGAUUACAAGUGUGAGGCACCACGCCCAGCCACAGAACACUUUUAAACCACUGAACUGAUAAAGGGGCUAUAAAACUCUUCUAUUUCAUUCUUUUUUUUUUUGAGACAGAGUCUUGCUCUGUCAUCCAGGCUGGAGUGCAGGGUGGCAAUCUCAGCUCACUGCAACCUCUGUAUUCCAGGUUCAAGCAAUACUUGUGCCUCAGCCUCCUGAGUAGCUGGGAUUACAGGUGUAUGCCACCAAGCUCAGCUAAUUUUUGUUCUUUUAGUAGAGACGGAGGUUUUGCCAUGUUGGCCAGGCUGGUCUCGAACUCCAGACCUCAAGUAAUCUGCCUGCCUUGGCCUCGUAAGUGCUGGGAUUUCAGGCAUGAGUGACUGCACCUGGUCUAUUUCAUUCUUUAUAAGCAGAAAACUCUAAAUACUUCUAGGAUAGGUGGUUCUGAGCAGUAGGCAUCUAUGUAUUUAAGAAUAUUAUGGAAUCUUCUGGUUUCUCCAAUCCUGUCCACCUAUCUUCAUUAGGAUGUCCUGGGCGUCUCAUGUGUUAGCAGUGCCGUUGACCCUUGAACAACACAGGUUUCAACUGCACUGGUCCACUUAUACAUGGGUUUUCUUUUGCCUCUGCUAUUCCUGCUAAACAAACCCCCUCCUCUUCCGCCUACUCAACAUGAAGAUGAUGAGAAUGAAGACCUUGAUGACUGAUCCACUUCCACUUAAUGAAUAAUAACUAUAUUUGUUGUAAUUUUCUUAAUAACAUUCUUUUUCUAGCUUACUUCAUUGUAAGAACACAGUAUAUAAUACAUAUAAUAUACAGAAUAUGUGUUAACUGACUGUUAAUGUUAUUGGCAAGGCUUUGGGCCAUCAGUGGGGUAUUAGUAGUUAAGUUCUUGAGGAUCAAAAGUUAUACUUGGAUUUUCAACUGCAUGAGGGGUUGGUGCCCCUAACCUCCACAUUGUUCAAGGGUCAACUGUAAUUUCCCAGCUCCUGUUUCUCUGGUUUCUGACCUGCUACUGACCUGCUUCCAGCUUGGCUUUGUAGUCUCCUACUUCAUAUCCUCCUUUAUUCCUUGAACCAGGCCUUUGACUUUGGGAUCCCUUCAAGAACACUUGGCUCCUUCCCUCCUGGCUACACAUACACAUUGUUAGGAGGGAUAAGCACCCUAGCAGGCUCUAGAUGCAGCUGCUGUCCUAGUUUCUCUUGUGGGUGGAUUUGGGACAGCAGGGAUUCAGACCAUAAUGUGGUUGUUCCUCAUCCUUCUUUACCUAACUAUUAAUCAUUGGAUUUCUUCAAGGCUUAGUCCUAGGGAAGCCUACUUACUAACCCUGUACGCUCUCUGAAAGAAGAAAAAUCUACACUUAUUGAGUAGUUAAUUGAGUGGUUACUAAAUACUGAGAACUAUGCUAAAAGUUUCAAAUGCAAGAAGCCAUUUUAAUACUCCCAACAGCAUUAUAAGGUAGGGAAUAGUAUAUUCUCUGUUUUUAAAUAUAUGGGAAAUUCAGAGUAUUUGAGUAAUUUCUUCAUGGUUGCACAGCUAGGAAGUAGCAGAGCUGGGCUGCAAACUGAGAUGGCUUCAUUCUAGGACUCCUGCUCUGAACCACUACCCUAUAUUGGCAUUGGUUUCUAUGGAAAUCUUUAAGUUAUCUCAUCCACACUUUUGAGUUCAAUUGCCAUCAAAGCAUUGAUGACUCCCAAACUUCAGUUGCCUACUCAACAUCUCCAUUUGAAUGUCUCAAGAACACUUCAAACUAACCGCAUUGAAAAGUGAACUCAGGUACCCCAACCCCUUCAAACCCAAUCUUCUUACGUGUUUUCUUCAUCAGUGAAAGGAAAUCAUCUUCCAUUAGUGGGAUGAGCCAGAUACCUCGGUGUCAUCACUGGCUCAUCACUCUGCUUCAGUUCUGUACCCAACCCAUUAUUAAGUCCAGUGAUUAACACCUCUGAAAUGUGUUUCAAAGCAGUCCUCUUCUCUCUGUCUUCGCAGCAACCACCUUUGUCCAAGACACAUUAUCUUUCAUCCAAUCUAGUGGAUAACGCUGUGCUAGUUAGGGUUCUUCAGAGAAACAGGAACAAUAGGCUAUAUAGACAGUCCUUGACUUUGGGUGGUUCAACUUAAGACUUUUUGACCUUACAAUGGUGUGAACCUGUCUCAGUUUUGACAUAAUAUAGUACAGUAUUCAAUAAAUGACAUGAGAUGUACAACACCUUAUUAUAAAACAGGCUUUUUGUGGCUGGGCGUGGUAGCUUACACCUGUAAUCCCAGCACUUUGGGAGGCCGAGGCGGGUGGAUCACAAGGUCAGGAGAUCAAGACCAUCCUGGCUAACAUGGUGAAACCCCAUCU
rnacentral:lncRNA from 10 species